rnacentral:rRNA from 1 species
UACGUAGGGGGCAAGCGUUGUCCGGAUUUAUUGGGCGUAAAGAGCGUGUAGGCGGCCAUACAGGUCAGCUGUGAAAACUCGAGGCUCAACCUCGAGACGUCGGUUGAAACCGUAUGGCUAGAGUCCGGAAGAGGAGAGUGGAAUUCCCGGUGUAGCGGUGAAAUGCGCAGAUAUCGGGAAGAACACCAGUGGCGAAGGCGGCUCUCUGGGACGGUACUGUCGCUGAGACGCGAAAGCGUGGGGAGCGAACAGG